rnacentral:rRNA from 1 species
GAUGAACGCUGGCGGCGUGCCUAAUACAUGCAAGUCGAGCGAACAGACGAGGAGCUUGCUCCUCUGACGUUAGCGGCGGACGGGUGAGUAACACGUGGAUAACCUACCUAUAAGACUGGGAUAACUUCGGGAAACCGGAGCUAAUACCGGAUAAUAUAUUGAACCGCAUGGUUCAAUAGUGAAAGACGGUUUUGCUGUCACUUAUAGAUGGAUCCGCGCCGCAUUAGCUAGUUGGUAAGGUAACGGCUUACCAAGGCAACGGUGCGUAGCCGACCUGAGAGGGUGAUCGGCCACACGGGAACGGAGACACGGUCCAGACUCCUACGGGAGGCAGCAGUAGGGAAUCGGCCGCAAUGGGCGAAGGCCUGACGGAGCAACGCCGCGUGAGUGAUGAAGGUCUUCGGAUCGUAAAACUCUGUUAUUAGGGAAGAACAAAUGUGUAAGUAACUAUGCACGUCUUGACGGUACCUAAGCAGAAAGCCACGGCUAACUACGUG